AUGCAACAGACUCCAACAGAUACGUGGAGUGGUUUUUCUUUUCAAGCUUUUCAGAAUCUUAGGGGUUUUGUUCGUCUCUCACUUGCUUCAGCUGUUGUGUUGUGUCUUGAAGUCUGGUAUUUUAUGGCAUUGAUUUUAUUUGCUGGAUAUUUGGAGAAUGCAGAGGUUUCGGUUGAUGCUACGUCUAUAUGCUCAAACAUAUUGGGAUGGACUAUCAUGACAUCCUAUGGAAUGAACGCGGCCUGUGAGAGUGUCAAAUGA